rnacentral:rRNA from 1 species
AGGACGAACGCUGGCGGCGUGCUUAACACAUGCAAGUCGAGCGAGGCCCUUCCUUCGGGAAGGUGCCCUAGCGGCGAACGGGUGAGUAACACGUGGGCAACCUGCCCCUAGCACUGGGAUAACUCCGGGAAACCGGGGCUAAUACCGGAUAUGACCAUCGAGGGCAUCCUCUUUGGUGCAAAGGAUUCUGGCUAGGGAUGGGCCCGCGGCCUAUCAGCUUGUUGGUGGGGUAACGGCCUACCAAGGCGACGACGGGUAGCCGGCCUGAGAGGGCGACCGGCCACACUGGGACUGAGACACGGCCCAGACUCCUACGGGAGGCAGCAGUGGGGAAUAUUGCACAAUGGGCGAAAGCCUGAUGCAGCGACGCCGCGUGAGGGAUGACUGCCUUCGGGUUGUAAACCUCUUUCAGCAGGGACGAAGCGAAAGUGACGGUACCUGCAGAAGAAGCACCGGCCAACUACGUGCCAGCAGCCGCGGUAA